rnacentral:rRNA from 1 species
AUUCCAGCUCCAAUAGCGUAUAUUAAAGUUGUUGCAGUUAAAAAGCUCGUAGUUGGAUUUCUGGUGGGGCUGUCGGCCUGGCUCCGAAAGGGGUCGUGGUUAGUACACGCCUGGCCAUCCUCGGGGGAAGCUUUGCUGGCAUUAAGUUGUCGGCGGAGUGACGCUCGUCGUUUACUGUGAACAAAUUAGAGUGUUCAAAGCAGGCUUAGGCCGUUGAAUACAUUAGCAUGGAAUAAUGAGAUAGGACUUUGGUGGCCUAUUUUGUUGGUUUGCACGCCGAAGUAAUGAUUAACAGGGACAGUCAGGGGCACUCGUAUUCCGCCGAGAGAGGUGAAAUUCUCAGACCAGCGGAAGACGAACCACUGCGAAAGCAUUUGCCAGGGAUGUUUUCAUUA